rnacentral:rRNA from 1 species
AUUGAACGCUGGCGGCAUGCUUUACACAUGCAAGUCGAACGGCAGCACGGGUGCUUGCACCUGGUGGCGAGUGGCGGACGGGUGAGUAAUACAUCGGAACGUAUCCAGAAGAGGGGGAUAACGCAUCGAAAGAUGUGCUAAUACCGCAUAUUCUCUGAGGAGGAAAGCAGGGGAUCGAAAGACCUUGCGCUUUGGGAGCGGCCGAUGUCUGAUUAGCUAGUUGGUGGGGUAAAGGCCUACCAAGGCGACGAUCAGUAGUUGGUCUGAGAGGACGACCAGCCACACUGGGACUGAGACACGGCCCAGACUCCUACGGGAGGCAGCAGUGGGGAAUUUUGGACAAUGGGCGCAAGCCUGAUCCAGCAAUGCCGCGUGAGUGAAGAAGGCCUCGGUUGUAAGACUCUUUCAGUCGAGAAGAAAAAGACUAGCAGUGAAUAACUAGUAGUUCAUGACGGUAUCGACAGAAGAAG